rnacentral:rRNA from 1 species
AGCAGUCGCCGCGGUAAUACGAAGGGUGCAAGCGUUACUCGGAAUUACUGGGCGUAAAGCGUGCGUAGGUGGUGGUUUAAGUCCGUUGUGAAAGCCCUGGGCUCAACCUGGGAAUUGCAGUGGAUACUGGGUCACUAGAGUGUGGUAGAGGAUAGUGGAAUUUCCGGUGUAGCAGUGAAAUGCGUAGAGAUCGGAAGGAACAUCUGUGGCGAAGGCGACUAUCUGGGCCAACACUGACACUGAGGCACGAAGGCGUGGGGAGCAAACAGGAUUAGAUACCCCUGUAGUCCCUGUCUCUUAUAC